rnacentral:rRNA from 1 species
AUGUGCUGCUACGUGGGCAAGGCCACCAAGAUCUUCCUCUGCCUCGUCACGGCGGUGCUGCUCGCCGGCCUCGUCCUCGGCUUCGGCCUCGCCCACCGGACGCUCUGGGGAGGCCAGAAGGCUGAGCCAGCCUGCCGGUGGCCGCGCUGCCAGCAGCAGCAGCCGAGCAUCGACGGCGGCGGCGGCCCGCUCCCGGUCGCGGGCACCACCACCAACGCGCCGCCGUCCAACCCGCUCACGGAGCCAGCCGUCGCCGUGUUCCCCGGGGUCGCCUCCUCCACCGCCGCGGAGCCGCCGGCGACGGCGAGCGUGCCCUACUACGGGCCGCCCAGGCCCUUCCCCGGGGUCGCCUCCUCCACCGCCGUGCCGCCAGCGGUGACAAGCGUGCCGUACUUCGCGCCACCCAGCCCGUUCCCCGGGGCGGCCUCCUCCACCGCCGUGCCGCCCGCGCCGAACUUCGGGCCGCCCAGCCCGUUCCCCGGGGUCGCCUCCUCUGCCGCCGUGCCGCCCGCGCCGCACUUCGGGCCGCCCAGCCCGUUCACCGUCGGCCUCGGCCCCUCCUCUCAUCCAUGA